rnacentral:rRNA from 1 species
AUUGAACGCUGGCGGCAGGCCUAACACAUGCAAGUCGAGCGGAUGAAGGGAGCUUGCUCCUGGAUUCAGCGGCGGACGGGUGAGUAAUGCCUAGGAAUCUGCCUGGUAGUGGGGGAUAACGUCCGGAAACGGGCGCUAAUACCGCAUACGUCCUGAGGGAGAAAGUGGGGGAUCUUCGGACCUCACGCUAUCAGAUGAGCCUAGGUCGGAUUAGCUAGUUGGUGGGGUAAAGGCCUACCGAGGCGACGAUCCGUAACUGGUCUGAGAGGAUGAUCAGUCACACUGGAACUGAGACACGGUCCAGACUCCUACGGGAGGCAGCAGUGGGGAAUAUUGGACAAUGGGCGAAAGCCUGAUCCAGCCAUGCCGCGUGUGUGAAGAAGGUCUCCGGAUUGUAAAGCACUUUAAGUUGGGAGGAAGGGCAGUAAGUUAAUACCUUGCUGUUUUGACGUUACCAACAGAAUAAGCACCGGCUAACUUCGUG